AUUGAACGCUGGCGGCAGGCCUAACACAUGCAAGUCGAACGGUAACAGGAAACAGCUUGCUGUUUCGCUGACGAGUGGCGGACGGGUGAGUAAUGUCUGGGAAACUGCCUGAUGGAGGGGGAUAACUACUGGAAACGGUAGCUAAUACCGCAUAACGUCGCAAGACCAAAGAGGGGGACCUUCGGGCCUCUUGCCAUCGGAUGUGCCCAGAUGGGAUUAGCUAGUAGGUGGGGUAACGGCUCACCUAGGCGACGAUCCCUAGCUGGUCUGAGGGCAUGAACAGCCACACUGGAACUGAGACACGGUCCAGACUCCUACGGGAGGCAGCAGUGGGGAAUAUUGCACAAUGGGCGCAAGCCUGAUGCAGCCAUGCCGCGUGUAUGAAGAAGGCCUUCGGGUUGUAAAGUACUUUCAGCGGGGAGGAAGGGAGUAAAGUCAAUACCUUUGCUCAUUGACGUUACCCGCAGAAGAAGCACCGGCUAACUCCGUGCCAGCCGCCGCCGUAA
rnacentral:rRNA from 1 species